UUUAGAACUCAAGAUAUGAGCUGAAAAUCGAAUAGUGUCUGAACUGCAUGACAGGUUCUGACUUCUUCGUUGUUGCUAAGAUUUGAGCAUGAAAGUUUUAGGUCUAUGUCUUAGCUUUUCAUCCAUAUAAAGUAGACCUAAAUCCGAGUUCUACA
rnacentral:pre_miRNA from 1 species